rnacentral:rRNA from 1 species
UACGUAGGGUGCAAGCGUUGUCCGGAAUUAUUGGGCGUAAAGAGCUCGUAGGCGGUCUGUCGCGUCGGAUGUGAAAACCCAGGGCUCAACCCUGGGCCUGCAUUCGAUACGGGCAGACUAGAGUUCGGUAGGGGAGACUGGAAUUCCUGGUGUAGCGGCGAAAUGCGCAGAUAUCAGGAGGAACACCGGUGGCGAAGGCGGGUCUCUGGGCCGAAACUGACGCUGAGGAGCGAAAGCGUGGGUAGCAAACAGG